rnacentral:lncRNA from 1 species
UCAACCAUGGAACGCGUGACCCGAUUCCUCGUGGAAUAUUUUUUCACCAGUCCGAUAAUGCAAGCUGCCCAUAUUAUUCUCUGUUGGAACCGAAUUGGACUCCCCUCAAAGAUUGGAUACAAUCUCUUGAUCGCAAUACCUUUUGGACUAAAAAGACUCAAAUAUCAAAUUUCCUUCAGCAUUCAAUUCCAUUGCCCCAUUACUUCAGCAUCAAAGUUCGCGCGGUUUUGGGGGAUGUAAUACACGGUC